GAUGAGUGUCAGCUCUGUUACCACUUCGGCUGUCUGGACCCUCCCCUGAAGAAGUCGCCCAAACAAACCGGCUACGGAUGGAUCUGUCAGGAAUGUGACACCUCCUCAUCAAAGGAGGAAGAACCACAAGAAGUUGAUGAAGAGUCUGGGAAAGAGGAAACGGAAGAGCAAGAGAUCCCAGACUGAAAAACUUGAGUUACCUUAUCGUUACCUCACAUGAAAUAAUCAUCUUGCCUACACAGUUAGCACCAUCACCUCAUUCCUGCUGAAUAGUGGGAUGCAAAAUAACUUUCACAAAUUAAAUCAACGAACUGCCACUGCUUCACAAGACUGAAACUUUCCUCCUUUGUUAACCAGGAAUCGAUCAAAUGACCACUACUGCCAGGUUAAAAAAAAAUUGUCAAUGCUGUGAUAUUUUUUCAAAAAUAUAGGGUAUUGUAGUAUGUUCAAGUUCACAGUCUUGAAUGAAUUUCAGAGUUCAACCCAGGGAAUCUUUGGAGUGGUGGUAGAACAGCAGGACCUCAUAUGAGUCUGCUUUUACCUUGAACACUCUAUGCCCACUCAAAGCCUGUUUUUUAAAGGUUAUUUUUCAUAUACUAAUUAACAUUUCCCAUGACUCAUGGAUGUGAAUAUUAUACUGGUGUUGUGUGUGUCCAGAGUUUUCUUAAGCAAUGUUUCUGUUAUACAGCAAUUGCACACUAUUUGUUCCUGUCCCGUAAACAGCUUUGUUUAUCAGCCCUUUAUAUUUGCUUUAUAUUUUCCCAUUUUAUUUCAUAUUGUUUAAACACCAACAUAUUAUAGUGUAAUAAUUAACUUGCAUUGGCAUUGCAUUGAAACUGACAGUUAGUGUCUUGCGUUAUAUAAAUAAUUCCUUACUUCCUGGUGGUAAGAGCAAAGUCUAUUUUAUUAUUUUUUACAAAUAUCAUUUUUAUACCUACAGUAUAUUCCAGAACAUCCUUUAUCAUUGACAGUGUUAUUGUCCAUGCUCAUGUUUGAGGCAAUUCUCAGUCAAAAAAUAAAUAAAUAAUCUGCCUCAACA